rnacentral:rRNA from 1 species
AUGGCGGCUAGAUCGAGUUCGUGGGGACAAUAUGGCAAGGAGACGACGGAGGAACUACUUGCCCGGUUGAAUCUGCAGGAGGAGGAGGACGAUGACUUUGUGUGGGAGUAGGAGCUGCCGGACCUGGGUGAGCCGACAAAGUGGCUUGCUAUAGCUAGGGUGCACACCUCAAGGACUUUCAGCCCUAAUGCUCUAUAUGGGGACAUGUGUGCUGCAUGGAAUCCUGCGAAAAUGGUGGUGUGGAGGAAGAUCAAGGACAAUCUGUUCAUAGCUCAAUUUGGAUGCCUUGGGGAUUGGAAUAAGGCCAUGGUCGAGGGGCCUUGGCUUUUCAGGGACCAGGCGGUGAUCUUGGUAGAGUAUGAUGGCUUCAAUACCCUUGAUAGCAUCAAGCUGGACAAGUUGGCAGUUUGGGCACAAAUCCAUCGGCUACCUGACAACUUUUUAAUUGAGCCUGCAGUCAGGGGGAUGGCAUCGCGCAUUGACGAGGUGGAGGAAGUUUAG